UGAUCGCGUCUAAGACAUAUAA
rnacentral:miRNA from 1 species